rnacentral:lncRNA from 1 species
CAUGGUCACCCCGCCGAGCGCGAGGAGGAGCAGCAGCUUGAGGCAGCACACCACCGACACCCUCACCAUGGCUCGCCCCGCCUAACCGACUUUAUAGCUASSCCGCGCGGCCAACCCCGAUUAGCUAGGUAGAGCAAGUGUCCACGCAGUUUGGCAGCCGGCGGAGGAAACUUGCAAGGGAGAACAACCAGCCAGCCGCCUAUAAUUACCGCCGACGGGGCGGGUGAAUUCGUUCUUGGCUUGCUGGAGGGUGCAACAGGAGCCGCCGCGGAGGGAGGGAGGGGGGAGCAAGCAACGGGAGAGUGGGUGGGGAUGGGAGGGAGGAGCGGGACGGAGGGGGAGAUUUAAAGGGCGCGGGAUGGCCGG